rnacentral:rRNA from 1 species
CAGCAGCCGCGGUAAUACGAAGGGGGCUAGCGUUGCUCGGAAUUACUGGGCGUAAAGCGCACGCAGGCGGUUUGUUAAGUCAGAUGUGAAAUCCCCGAGCUUAACUUGGGAACUGCAUUUGAAACUGGCAAGCUAGAGUCUUGUAGAGGGGGGUAGAAUUCCAGGUGUAGCGGUGAAAUGCGUAGAGAUCUGGGGGAAUACCGGUGGCGAAGGCGGCCCCCUGACAAAGACUGACGCUCAGGUGCGAAAGCGUGGGGAGCAAACAGGAUUAGAUACCCCUGUAGUCCCUGUCUCUUAUACA